UGAAGACCUCUCUAGUGCUUAAUAAUUGUAACAUAUAUAUGCUAUGGAUCACAAUACUUGGCACAGGUCCUCUACCAAUAUAUUUUUUAAAAAGGAGAAAAAGAAAGGAGUAGAAGGGUGAAGAAGGGGAAGAACUAGAAGAAGACGGAAAAAGGAGAAGGACGAGAAUAAGAAAGGAGAAAACAAAGGAGGCAGAGAAAGAGGAGAAGCAGCAGAAGAAAAAGCAGAAGAAGUGAAAGAAGCAGAAGAAAAAGCAGAAGCAGCACCAGAAGAAGAUGAAGCAGAAGAUUACAAAGCAGUAGACGAUGAAGCAGCAGCAGAUGCACAGGGAGCAGAAAAAGAGCAGAAGAAUGGGAGUGGGCAGUGCGUGUGUGGCAGGGGGGGCUGUACGUUAACCAGAAGCUAGAAGAACCAGACGUUUUCAUGGCAGUUCUCAAUGGUUACUGAAUAACACCUUUCUCAGAUUUGAUUCUAGGAACUUUGCCCUGUUAAGCCAAGAAGUCGUGACAAACAAUAGAGGUGGGAAGACAGGAAACACAAAAUAUAUCCCAUCUAAAUUUUAAUAUCAGUAACAUCCAAUCAAUACUAACUCCACUGAUUUCUGCAACAUCACCUAUUAACAGACCAAUCUGAUUUUGCACCUGAGUUGACUGAAGUUUGGAACAUCAGCUAGUGUUGUGAAGUGUGAAAAAAUGCUUUAAUAAACAAGAAUUAGUGCUAGCGAUAA